CACAGGCCCUUGAUACACUAAGCACUUAGUAUCAUUGGCUGGUAUUCAGUUUGUAAUUUAUAUUUGAAGGUGUAUGGUUGAAAGUGAAUGGUGGCACAUACCUUCAAUCCCAGCGGAAGCAGAGGCAGGAGGAUCUCUUAGGGCCAGACUGGUUUGUAGAGUGAGUUCCAGGCAAGCUAGGGCCUUGUAGAGAAAAAAAAUGCAUAUUUAAUAGCUUGAGGAUUUAACACAAUUGGUAGAGCACUUAUCCAGCAUGCAUGAAGCCCUUGAUUUAUUUGAUAAUCAGCACUACAUACUGGGUGUUAUGGCUCAGGCUGGAGGCAUACAAGAUUCAUUUUGUAGUUCAUGAGAACACAAACAUGCUCUCAAGCCUAAUUUGGUUAGAAUUCCUUUUUCUAAAAUGUCUUAGUGGUAUUAUGGUAGGGUAUAUACGGUAACCCUGAAGUUAGCAUUUUCCCAAGACCAAGAAGCCAGCCUGGUGGUUUUAAGAUCUGAGCCCUGUCCUCCUCAGCUGUAGGCACAAUCCCUGGGUUUAUUGUGAUCUUGCAGACUGGACAUUCGGCUAGUCAGUCAGUAGAAUGCUCUCGCUACUUACUGCUUGUGAGACUUAAGCGUAUGAGGCCAAACAUGGUCACCGACUUGCUGUUCAUUUAAUGAACAAAAUGAUUUGCUGUUCAUUUAAUGAACAGAAUGAUUUGCUGUUCAUUAAAGGUAUAUAAAAACCAUCUUCUGUUAGAA
rnacentral:lncRNA from 1 species